GACGAACGCUGGCGGCGUGCUUAACACAUGCAAGUCGAACGGAAAGGCCUGCUUUCCCUUGUGGUUUGCGGGUACUCGAGUGGCGAACGGGUGAGUAAAACGUGAGUGAUCUGUCCCCAACUUGGGUAUAAGCCUGGGAUACUGGGUCUAAUUCUCGAUAGGACUGCAGGGUGGUGCCUGUGGUGGAAAACGAUUUUAUAGAGGUUGGGGAUGAGCUGGCGGCCUAUUAGCUUGUUGGAGGGGUACUGGCCCACCAAGGCGGGGACGGGGAGCCGGCCUGAGAUGGUGGACGGUCACAUUGGGACUGAGACACGGCCCAGACGCCUACGGGAGGCAGCGGUGGGUAAUAUAGCACAAUGGGCGGAAGCCUGAUGCAGCGACGCCGCGUAGGGGAUGACGGCCUUCGGGUUGUAAACUCCUUUCGACCGCGAGGAAGCCACCUGGUUGGAAGGGUGGUGACGGUAGUGGUAGAAGAAGCACCGGCUAACUACGUG
rnacentral:rRNA from 1 species